AACGAACAUUGCGCCCGCUAGUAUUCUGGCGGGCAUGCCUGUUCGAGCGUCAUUUCAACCAUCAAGCCCUAGGCUUGCGUUGGAGCCCUGCGGCUGCCGCAGGCUCCCAAAUCCAGUGGCGGGCUCGUCGUCGUACCGAGUGCAGUAAACAUCCUCGCUCAGGGAACGUGACGGGUUCUUGCCGUGAAACCCCCCACAUAUCAAGGUUGACCUCGGAUCAGGUAGGAAUACCCGCUGAACUUAA
rnacentral:misc_RNA from 1 species